rnacentral:rRNA from 1 species
UACAGAGGUGGCAAGCGUUGUUCGGAAUUACUGGGCGUAAAGGGCGCGUAGGCGGCCUUCUAAGUCAGACGUGAAAUCCCCCGGCUUAACCUGGGAACUGCGUCUGAUACUGGGAGGCUAGAGUGCGGGAGAGGGAUGCGGAAUUCCAGGUGUAGCGGUGAAAUGCGUAGAUAUCUGGAGGAACACCGGUGGCGAAGGCGGCAUCCUGGACCAAUACUGACGCUGAGGAGCGAAAGCUAGGGGAGCAAACGGG